CAAGUCGAACGGACUUAAAAGAGCUUGCUUUUUUAAGUUAGUGGCGGACGGGUGAGUAACACGUGAGCAACCUGCCUCUGAGAGGGGGAUAGCUUCUGGAAACGGAUGGUAAUACCCCAUAAAAUAUAAAUAUCGCAUGAUAGAUAUAUCAAAGAAAUUCGCUCAGAGAUGGGCUCGCGUCUGAUUAGAUAGUUGGUGAGGUAACGGCUCACCAAGUCGACGAUCAGUAGCCGGACUGAGAGGUUGAACGGCCACAUUGGGACUGAGACACGGCCCAGACUCCUACGGGAGGCAGCAGUGGGGAAUAUUGCACAAUGGAGGGAACUCUGAUGCAGCGAUGCCGCGUGGAGGAAGAAGGUUUUCGGAUUGUAAACUCCUUUUAUCAGGGACGAUAAUGACGGUACCUGAAGAAAAAGCUCCGGCUAACUACGUGCCAGCAGCCGCGGUAAUACGUAGGGAGCGAGCGUUGUCCGGAAUUACUGGGUGUAAAGGGAGCGUAGGCGGGAUAGCAAGUCAGAUGUGAAAACUAUGGGCUCAACCUGUAGAUUGCAUUUGAAACUGUUGUUCUUGAGUGAAGUAGAGGUAAGCGGAAUUCCUAGUGUAGCGGUGAAAUGCGUAGAUAUUAGGAGGAACAUCGGUGGCGAAGGCGGCUUACUGG
rnacentral:rRNA from 1 species